rnacentral:rRNA from 1 species
ACGUAGGUGGCAAGCGUUAUCCGGAUUUACUGGGUGUAAAGGGCGCGUAGGCGGGGAUGCAAGUCAGAUGUGAAAUCUAUGGGCUUAACCCAUAAACUGCAUUUGAAACUGUAUCUCUUGAGUGCUGGAGAGGUAGAUGGAAUUCCUUGUGUAGCGGUGAAAUGCGUAGAUAUAAGGAAGAACACCAGUGGCGAAGGCGAUCUACUGGACAGUAACUGACGCUGAGGCGCGAAAGCGUGGGGAGCAAACAG